rnacentral:rRNA from 1 species
AUUGAACGCUGGCGGCAUGCCUUACACAUGCAAGUCGAACGGCAGCACGGGAGCAAUCCUGGUGGCGAGUGGCGAACGGGUGAGUAAUAUAUCGGAACGUGCCCAGUCGUGGGGAUAACGUAGCGAAAGCUACGCUAAUACCGCAUACGAUCUAUGGAUGAAAGCGGGGGAUCGCAAGACCUCGCGCGAUUGGAGCGGCCGAUAUCAGAUUAGGUAGUUGGUGAGGUAAAGGCUCACCAAGCCGACGAUCUGUAGCUGGUCUGAGAGGACGACCAGCCACACUGGGACUGAGACACGGCCCAGACUCCUACGGGAGGCAGCAGUGGGAAUUUUGGACAAUGGCGCAAGCCUGAUCCAGCAAUGCCGCGUG